AGUGAACGCUGGCGGUAGGCCUAACACAUGCAAGUCGAACGGCAGCACAGUAAGAGCUUGCUCUUACGGGUGGCGAGUGGCGGACGGGUGAGGAAUACAUCGGAAUCUACUUUUUCGUGGGGGAUAACGUAGGGAAACUUACGCUAAUACCGCAUACGACCUACGGGUGAAAGCAGGGGAUCUUCGGACCUUGCGCGAUUGAAUGAGCCGAUGUCGGAUUAGCUAGUUGGCGGGGUAAAGGCCCACCAAGGCGACGAUCCGUAGCUGGUCUGAGAGGAUGAUCAGCCACACUGGAACUGAGACACGGUCCAGACUCCUACGGGAGGCAGCAGUGGGGAAUAUUGGACAAUGGGCGCAAGCCUGAUCCAGCCAUACCGCUUGGGUGAAGAAGGCCUUCGGGUUGUAAAGCCCUUUUGUUGGGAAAGAAAAGCAGCAGGUUAAUACCCCGCUGUUCUGACGGUACCCAAAGAAUAAGCACCGGCUAACUUCGUG
rnacentral:rRNA from 1 species